rnacentral:rRNA from 1 species
AAAACAUCUUCUCUUGUUUAAUAUUUUGAGAUUUGACCUGCUCUAUGAUUUAUUUAAUGGCCGCGGUAAUUUGACCGUGCAAAGGUAGCAUAAUCAUUAGUCUUUUAAUUGAGGACUUGUAUGAAUGGUUGGACGAAAUAUUUACUGUCUCUUUUAUAUUAAUUUAAUUUAAAUUUCUAGUUAAAAUGCUUGAAUUUUUUUAUAGGACGAUAAGACCCUAUAGAUCUUUAUUUGUUUAUUUAUUUAUUUAUUUUAGUUUAUUUAUUUUAUAUAAGUUAUCAUGUUUUGUUGGGGUGACAUUGAGAUAUAUAUAACUCUUAAUUUUUAUAUACAUUUAUUUAUGAUUAGUUGACCUUUUAUUAUUGUUAUAAGAUAUAGAUACCUUAGGGAUAACAGCGUAAUUCUUUUUGAGAGUUCAAAUCGACAAAUGAGAUUGCGACCUCGAUGUUGGAUUAAGAUUAUAGUUAGGUGUAGCUGUUUAACUAUUAGGUCUGUUCGACCUUUAAAU